rnacentral:tRNA from 1 species
GGGAUUGUAGUUCAAUCAAUCAGAGCACCGCCCUAUCAAGGCGGAAGGUAAAGGUUCGAGCCCCGUCAGUCCCA